UAAUUUUACUUGAUUCAGCCCCUAAUUCUCCCUAUUUAACUUGAAGCCAUCUAUACCUCUGAAGAUGUACUGAAGUGCUGUCUUCUCAUGGCUACCAUGUAACAAAUCUCCUUUUCCCGCCCUUUAUCAUGCCUCUUUAUUUGGUAUAUGAGGGCAAUUGACUAGACCUAAUCUGAAAGUCCUGGACUUUGUGUGUGGGGCCUGAAAAAGUUUCAGAGAUGCAUUAUGGCCCAGAAAAAAAAGAUUCAGACAUCUAAAAAGAUCAUACAAGAAACCACUCCACUAUUACCGGCAAAGAAGACCAGGAAAAGACAAACAGAAGACGGGAAAGAAGCAGUUAGCCAACAAUUCAUUUCUACUCUUAACACUAAGAGAAGAGAGAGGAAGACUCAACUAACUCCUUUCUCUCUCUAGUUUAGAACUAGUCUCAAUACAACAGGUGAUACACGUGGGGGAGGAGAACUUCCUGGCCAAACAUCACAGAACUGCAACUUCUUCCAAACUCUGAAAUUUAUGUAAACAGAUCAUAGGCCACUAUCUUCAAACUAAAUCAAACACAAGAUUUUAUUUCUGGGUCUGUCAUGAACUUGCUGGAUAAUUCUGAAACUUCAGUCUCUCUACUUUGCUCAAUAACUAAACCACAAUAUGCAUACCUAAAAUUAAAUCAUGAGGUCUAAUAAAAAUCUAUUUUCCAACUUAUAGAUUUUUGUGGAAAAUCUGACAUAAGUAUAUGAAAAUAAAUCAUACUGUAUAAGUCACAUUUAAGAAAUGUGCAUUAAAUAUUAAAAAUGCACCACAUAAGAUUAUCCAACUCAAAAACGUUGAAUUCUUCCAUAAAGGUAUUCACUAGACAAAAAUAUAUAUAAUAUCAGCUUUCAAAGGGCGAAAGGAGUUUGAGGCUUUGAAUCUGAGCUCAGUUAUAUUUAGAAAACCAAGAUGACACUUCAUUGGAUCUUGUAUCUUUAUCUUGGACAUUUGAUUCAUAUGCUUUGCCUGUACAAUUCAAAUCAAGAGAUCUAUACUAAACCUGGAAAAUAAACUGAACCUAUCAGAAUUUACUGGAUGUUAGAAGGAUAACAUGCCAUAACAUGCCUAUCCAGGGGGAAAAAAUCAGAAGCUACUAGAGUUAAUAAAAAGCUAUCAGCACCUCCAAGUCAAAUCUAAAAGCCACUGUUGACUUCAUAAAGAUUUCUACCUCAUUCCUAGAAAUCCCAAUUUAGGAACCUAGGACUAAACUCAGGAAAUCUAGUAACCAAAAGCUAUCAUACAUAGUUCUGUUACACAAGUUAGUUCAGAAAAUAUUGGUCUAGGAUAAGACUACAGAAAGAAUUUAUGCCAUUAUAUCAUAUUUAAAUGCAACCAAAAAUUAGUAGAUUGCCAGUAGUGAUAGGGAACUGGUAACAUUCAAAUCAUCUGCAUCCUUGAUUCAGAUCACCAAGUAGAUGAUUUUUUAAGGAGUAAGAAGAAACCUAGAUCUGGAUUAUUACCUUUUAAAAGCAGAAGCUCUUGAAGACUCAAGGAGGGUAGUAAGAACAUGUCUACUGGGCUAGGAAUGUGGCUUAGCGAUAUCGAGUGCUUGCCUAGCAUGUAUGAAGCCCUGGGUUUGAUUCCU